UACAGAGGGGGCAAGCGUUGUUCGGAAUUACUGGGCGUAAAGGGCGCGUAGGCGGCCCGCUAAGUCGAACGUGAAAUCCCCGAGCUCAACUCGGGAACUGCGUCCGAUACUGGCGGGCUUGAAUCCGGGAGAGGGAUGCGGAAUUCCAGGUGUAGCGGUGAAAUGCGUAGAUAUCUGGAGGAACACCGGUGGCGAAGGCAGGUCUCUGGGCAUUAACUGACGCUGAGGAGCGAAAGCAUGGGGAGCGAACAGG
rnacentral:rRNA from 1 species